rnacentral:rRNA from 1 species
AGUCGACGGUGAAGCCCUUCGGGGUGGAUCAGUGGCGAACGGGUGAGUAACACGUGGGGAAUCUGCCCUGAACUCUGGGACAAGCCUUGGAAACGAGGUCUAAUACCGGAUACGACCUUCUCCUGCAUGGGGGUUGGUGGAAAGCUCCGGCGGUUCAGGAUGAUCCCGCGGCCUAUCAGCUUGUUGGUGGGGUAAUGGCCUACCAAGGCGACGACGGGUAGCCGGCCUGAGAGGGCGACCGGCCACACUGGGACUGAGACACGGCCCAGACUCCUACGGGAGGCAGCAGUGGGGAAUAUUGCACAAUGGGCGAAAGCCUGAUGCAGCGACGCCGCGUGAGGGAUGACGGCCUUCGGGUUGUAAACCUCUUUCAGCAGGGAAGAAGCGCAAGUGACGGUACCUGCAGAAGAAGCACCGGCUAACUACGUGCCAGCAGCCGCGGUAAUACGUAGGGUGCGAGCGUUGUCCGGAAUUAUUGGGCGUAAAGAGCUCGUAGGCGGCCUGUCGCGUCGGAUGUGAAAGCCCGGGGCUUAACCCCGGGUCUGCAUUCGAUACGGGCAGGCUAGAGUGUGGUAGGGGAGAUCGGAAUUCCUGGUGUAGCGGUGAAAUGCGCAGAUAUCAGGAGGAACACCGGUGGCGAAGGCGGAUCUCUGGGCCAUUACUGACGCUGAGGAGCGAAAGCGUGGGGAGCGAACAGGAUUAGAUACCCUGGUAGUCCACGCCGUAAACGUUGGGAACUAGGUGUUGGCGACAUUCCACGUCGUCGGUGCCGCAGC